UUGUGAAGCCGCGAAUGGCUCAUUAUAACAGCCAUUGUUUACUGGAUAUAUUUUUACUACAUGGAUAACUGUGGUAAUUCUACAGCUAAUACACGCAUCAAAACUGCGACUUCGGAAGCAGUGCGUUUGUUACUUCAAAUCAAUCGGACUUCGGUCUGAAACCAAGUGAAAUUGAACAAUUUAGCUGAUCGCACGGUCUAUGUACCGGCGACAUAUCCUUCAAACGUCUGCCUUAUCAACUUUAGAUGGUAGUCUAUACGUCUACCAUGGUUGUAACGGGUAACGGAGAAUCAGGGUU
rnacentral:rRNA from 1 species